rnacentral:rRNA from 1 species
GGAGUGGGUUGCAAAAGAAGUAGGUAGCUUAACCUUCGGGAGGGCGCUUACCACUUUGUGAUUCAUGACUGGGGUGAAGUCGUAACAAGGUAACCGUAGGGGAACCUGCGGUUGGAUCACCUCCUUAUCUUAAAGAAGC